GUGGCGCACGGCUGAGGAACACGUGGGUAACCUGCCCCAGAGUGGGGGAUACCCCGUCGAAAGACGGAGUAAUCCCGCAUACGCUCUACGGAGGAAAGCCCCUACGGGCGCUCUGGGAGGUGCCUGCGGCCAUCAGGUUGUUGGUGUGGUAACGGCGCACCAAGCCACUGACGGGUACCCGGUCUGAGAGGACGGCCGGGCAGACUGGGACUGCGACACGGCCCAGACUCCUACGGGAGGCAGCGGCAAGGAAUUUUCCCCAAUGGGCGCAAGCUGGAGGGAGCAACGCCGCGUGGAGGACGACGGCCUUCGGGGUUGUAAACUCCUUUCGGGUGGGACGACCGCGACGGUACCACCAGAAGCAGCCCCGGCUAACUCUGUGCCAGCAGCCGCGGUAAGACAGAUGGGGGCAAGCUUUGUCCGGAGUUACUGGGCGUAAAGGGCGCGGAGGCGGUCUGCGGCGUCGGCGCUGAAACCCCGGCUUAACGGGGCGAGGCGUGCCGAUACGCGCAGACUUGAGGCGAGCAGAGGGUGGUGGAAUUCCGGGUGGAGCGGGUGAAAUGCGUAGAGAUCCGGAGGAACGCCAGUGGGGAAGCCGGCCACCUGGGCUCGGCCUGACGCUGCGGCGCGACAGCGUGGGGAGCAAACCGGAUUAGAUACCCGGGUAGUCCGCGCCGUAAACGAUGCCAGCUCGGCGUGUGCCACGGUCGUGCGCUGCGUGCCUUAGCUCACGCGAUAAGCUGGCCGCCUGGGGACUACGAGCGCAAGCUUAAAACUCAAAGGAAUUGACGGGGGCCCGCACAAGCAGCGGAGCGUGUGGUUUAAUUCGACGCAACACGAAGAACCUUACCUGGGCUUGACAUGACGCUGCACGCCGUCGAAAGACGGCCGCCUGCGAGGGCCCGUCA
rnacentral:rRNA from 1 species